rnacentral:tRNA from 1 species
GGAAAUUGUGAGGUUACUGCUAAUAAUCUUUUGUCAAUUUGUUUUGACUUCUCUU